GCCGGAGUGGCGGAAUGGCAGACGCGCGCGCCUCAAAAGCGCGUGUUCGUAAGAGCAUGUGGGUUCGACUCCCACCUCCGGCA
rnacentral:tRNA from 1 species